rnacentral:rRNA from 1 species
GGGGGCUAAUAAUGCAGUCGAGCGAGCAGAACCAGCAGAUUUACUUCGGUAAUGACGCUGGGGACGCGAGCGGCGGAUGGGUGAGUAACACGUGGGGAACCUGCCCCAUAGUCUGGGAUACCACUUGGAAACAGGUGCUAAUACCGGAUAAGAAAGCAGAUCGCAUGAUCAGCUUAUAAAAGACGGCGUAAGCUGUCGCUAUGGGAUGGCCCCGCGGUGCAUUAGCUAGUUGGCAAGGUAACGGCUUACCAAGGCAAUGAUGCAUAGCCGAGUUGAGAGACUGAUCGGCCACAUUGGGACUGAGACACGGCCCAAACUCCUACGGGAGGCAGCAGUAGGGAAUCUUCCACAAUGGACGCAAGUCUGAUGGAGCAACGCCGCGUGAGUGAAGAAGGUUUUCGGAUCGUAAAGCUCUGUUGUUGGUGAAGAAGGAUAGAGGUAGUAACUGGCCUUUAUUUGACGGUAAUCAACCAGAAAGUCACGGCUAACUACGUGCCAGCAGCCGCGGUAAUACGUAGGUGGCAAGCGUUGUCCGGAUUUAUUGGGCGUAAAGCGAGCGCAGGCGGAAGAAUAAGUCUGAUGUGAAAGCCCUCGGCUUAACCGAGGAACUGCAUCGGAAACUGUUUUUCUUGAGUGCAGAAGAGGAGAGUGGAACUCCAUGUGUAGCGGUGGAAUGCGUAGAUAUAUGGAAGAACACCAGUGGCGAAGGCGACUCUCUGGUCUGCAACUGACGCUGAGGCUCGAAAGCAUGGGUAGCGAACAGGAUUAGAUACCCUGGUAGUCCAUGCCGUAAACGAUGAGUGCUAAGUGUUGGGAGGUUUCCGCCUCUCAGUGCUGCAGCUAACGCAUUAAGCACUCCGCCUGGGGAGUACGACCGCAAGGUUGAAACUCAAAGGAAUUGACGGGGGCCCGCACAAGCGGUGGAGCAUGUGGGUUUAAUUCGAAGCAACGCGAGAACCUUACCAGGUCUUGACAUCUAGUGCCAUCCUAAGAGAUUAGGAGUUCCCUUCGGGGACGCUANACAGGUGGUGCAUGGCUGUCGUCAGCUCGUGUCGUGAGAUGUUGGGGUAGUCCCGCACGAGCGC